rnacentral:rRNA from 1 species
UAGGGGGCGAGCGUUAUCCGGAUUCAUUGGGCGUAAAGCGCGCGCAGGCGGGCGCCUAAGCGGGACCUCUAAUCUUGGGGCUCAACCCCAAGCCGGGUCCCGAACUGGGCGCCUCGAGUGCGGUAGGGGAGGUCGGAAUUCCCGGUGUAGCGGUGGAAUGCGCAGAUAUCGGGAAGAACACCGACGGCGAAGGCAGACCUCUGGGCCGCCACUGACGCUGAGGCGCGAAAGCUAGGGGAGCGAA